rnacentral:rRNA from 1 species
AGAGCGAACGCUGGCGGCAUGCUUAACACAUGCAAGUCGCACGAGUACUUUCGGGUAUUAGUGGCGGACGGGUGAGUAUCGCGUAGGGAUUUAUCGUUGGGUGGGGGACAACCUUGGGAAACUGGGGCUAAUACCGCAUGACGCCUGAGGGCCAAAGCACUUGUGGCGCCUGACGAGAAGCCUGCGUCCGAUUAGGUAGUUGGUUGGGUAAUGGCUGACCAAGCCUGCGAUCGGUAGCUGGUCUGAGAGGAUGAUCAGCCACACUGGGACUGAGACACGGCCCCAGACUCCUACGGGAGGCAGCAGUGGGGAAUAUUGGACAAUGGGCGCAAGCCUGAUCCAGCAAUGCCGCGUGGAUGAAGAAGGUCUUCGGAUUGUAAAGUCCUUUCGACGGGGACGAUGAUGACGGUACCCGUAGAAGAAGCCCCGGCUAACUUCGUGCCAGCAGCCGC